rnacentral:rRNA from 1 species
UAGGGAAUCUUCGGCAAUGGGGGGAACCCUGACCGAGCAACGCCGCGUGAGUGAAGAAGGUUUUCGGAUCGUAAAGCUCUGUUGUUAAGGAAGAACGAGUGUGAGAAUGGAAAGUUCAUACUGUGACGGUACUUAACCAGAAAGGGACGGCUAACUACGUGCCAGCAGCCGCGGUAAUACGUAGGUCCCGAGCGUUGUCCGGAUUUAUUGGGCGUAAGCGAGCGCAGGCGGUUAGAUAAGUCUGAAGUUAAAGGCAGUGGCUCAACCAUUGUAGGCUUUGGAAACUGUUUAACUUGAGUGCAGAAGGGGAGAGUGGAAUUCCAUGUGUAGCGGUGAAAUGCGUAGAUAUAUGGAGGAACACCGGUGGCGAAAGCGGCUCUCUGGUCUGUAACUGACGCUGAGGCUCGAAAGCGUGGGGAGCGAACAGG